AUUACUCCCACCUGGUCAUGUGACAAUUCAUCCAAUAGCCAUUUGCAGCACACUUGGUGGAAGAGAAUCUGCCACUACCUGGUGUCAGGUGGGGGAGGUGGGGACAAACCAUUUUCCAAGAUCAAGCGAUUGUUCUCUUGAAGCCAAACUAAACUUUAGGCGAGGGACAAAAUUCAGAUUUAUUAAAUUUAGCUGAUAGUACCCUAAUCAAGGGAGGUGGAUUCUAGUAUUUAAUGGUCAGCAUCAGUGGGAACACCGGUCUACACAACAUGCUUUAGUCACUUUACCCUCAGUUGCUUUAAUUAUGCUACAUUUGGUCCUAAACAAGUUCCAGAUCAGCCUCAAUUAUCCCUCUGAGCCAAGAUGCAGGAGAAACACCUGAGAUGCUCCAGCAAGUUUUAAACUACAGCAGCCAGAUUUAUUGAAACAUUGCUUCAAGAUCCUUUAAAGAAAACCAGCUGUUUAAAGUCAGACUAAACCAGUUUAAAUCAUCAAUGGAGUUUAAGGACACAAACUCAAAUUCAUGGUUUACUUUAGGUUUAUUAGAGGUUACUUCGUAGUUUCUUGGAGGUUCUGCUGAUCAGUUCUUUGCCCUUUGGAUCUGCAGGAUUUACUCCUUUGAUUAACUACCCACAGGGGUUCUCCUACGAUAUAAAUGACUUGAGACCAAGGUUUGUCCGUCUCCCAGACCCCUCAGUCUGGAUCCCUGAUAACAUUCCCACCGACCCCUUCCCAUUGGUUGUUCGUGGAACUGAUCAGCAGAACCUCCAAGAAACUACGACGUAACCUUUAAUAAACCUUAAGUAAACAUGAAUCUGAGUAUCUGUGCUUGACUUUAACGCCAUUGAUUUAAACUGGUUUAGUUUGACUUUAAACAGCUGGUUUUCUUAAACUAUCAAGCAGCCGUUCCAAUAAUUCUGGCUGCUGUAGUUUAAAGUCUCUCAGGUGUUUCUCCUGCAUCUUAUCAGCUCAGAGGUAAGAAAAUGGAGGAUGACCUGGAACAAAUGACACCGUGUCUGGGACCAAAUGCAGCUAUAGUGAAGAACCUGACAGUAAAGUGACUCUAAAGCGUCUUGUGUAGAUGAGUAGUUCUACUGAAUUUGUUCUGACCAUUAAACCCUAGACCUCUCCUUCCUUGGUUGGAGUUCUGUUCUCAGCUGAUCUAGUAAACUGGAAUUGUGACCAAAGUAAACCAUGAAUCUGAGUUUGUCUGACUUGAACUUUACUGAAGGUUUAAAUGAGUUUUAACUCUUUAAACGGUUGGUUUUCUUCAAUUCUCCUGAAGUUAUCUUUAACUGGCUGCUCCUGUAGUUUAACAUUGCCAUGAAGGUAUUUGAGCUACAAAUCAGGAGAACAAGGGUGAAAACUCUGCUUUUCUGGGACCAAAUAAAGCAGUUCGCUUAAAAGUGAUGUUUUUCUGUGUAGAUUAAUGGACUAAAGUGGUUUUUCC
ensembl:lncRNA